CUAUGCGCCUUGCCAGCCCGCUCAGGUGUGCCAGCCGCCGCGGUAAUACGGAGGAUGCGAGCGUUAUCCGGAUUUAUUGGGUUUAAAGGGUGCGUAGGCGGAUUUUUAAGUCAGCGGUAAAAUGUCCGGGCUCAACCCGGGCGGCCGUUGAAACUGGGGGAUCUUGAGUGGGCGAGAAGUAUGCGGAAUGCGUGGUGUAGCGGUGAAAUGCAUAGAUAUCACGCAGAACUCCGAUUGCGAAGGCAGCAUACCGGCGCCCGACUGACGCUGAGGCACGAAAGCGUGGGGAUCGAACAGG
rnacentral:rRNA from 1 species